AUUGCUACUCUAACAACGGCACUGACCUUUCCAUAGUAAUUAGUAAGUGCUAUUUGUUGGGGUAGUUUGA
rnacentral:pre_miRNA from 1 species